GUGGGGAAUAUUGGACAAUGGGCGAAAGCCUGAUCCAGCCAUGCCGCGUGUGUGAAGAAGGUCUUCGGAUUGUAAAGCACUUUAAGUUGGGAGGAAGGUUAGUAACCUAAUACGUUGCUACUUUGACGUUACCGACAGAAUAAGCACCGGCUAACUUCGUGCCAGCAGCCGCGGUAAUACGAAGGGUGCAAGCGUUAAUCGGAAUUACUGGGCGUAAAGCGCGCGUAGGUGGUUUUGUAAGUUGGAGGUGAAAUCCCCGGGCUCAACCUGGGAACUGCCUCCAAAACUGCAUGACUAGAGUACGGUAGAGGGUAGUGGAAUUUCCUGUGUAGCGGUGAAAUGCGUAGAUAUAGGAAGGAACACCAGUGGCGAAGGCGACUACCUGGACUGAUACUGACACUGAGGUGCGAAAGCGUGGGGAGCAAACAGGAUUAGAAACCCUUGUAGUCC
rnacentral:rRNA from 1 species